GGAACAUAUCUUUAGAUAGAUAUUUUCAGGAAUUGAUCCCAAUCCUUGCAUCUCCUCAUAUCUAGAAAAGCAAUCAAUCUCAUGGUGACAUCAGCUCCUCGUUAUUAGUAGAAAACCUUUUGUAAGGUAAGUGUUUGAUUGCAUCAAACUCCCCCUUCGCCCAAAUCACACAUAUUGAUCUUCUCUCACUGUUUGGAGCAGUUUCUCAAAGCUAUCUGAGGUGCUGUCUCCUUGGCUGCAAUCUUCAUUUUGUCCCAAAUAGAACUUAACUCACAACUUUCACGUUGUGCAUCUUUUUCAGUCCACAGAAUGGAGACAUGUAAACCCCAGCACCAGAGGAUAGGCACUCAGGACAUGCUGCGGUUGGGAGCCACUUUAUAGGGCCCAGGUCAGCAUAAGGGGCGGAGCUCUCAUAGGGCAGGCGCAUGCGCUGUUCACAGCUUCCCCCCGCGCAGUGCCUUGUGGGCAACAUCUCUGCAAGUCAGCGCAGCCGUUUUGCACUAGGAGGUCUGGCCUGAAGUGUUUGGAGUAAGACCUCUGCCGGGCGCCUGCAGCUCCCUCCCUGGACGAAGUGAAACCAGACCAAGUCCAAAGGAAAAAAGGCAUGCCUCCUCAGUGGCUGCAGCUAGCAUAAGAUCGUCAACAUACUGCAAUAGAACAACGUUGGAGUGAUCAACCCAGUACUCAUGGAGGUCUUCACCCAGAGCCUCAUUGAAUGGUGUUGGUGAAUUCUUGAAGCCUUGCGGAAGUCGAGUCCAAGUUAGCUGUCCUGAGGUCUGGCUGCCUUCUUUUAUCUAUUCGAAUGCGAAGAUCUCUUGGCUCAAGGGGGCUGAGCGUGAACUGAAAAAGGCAUCUUUCAAGUCUAGGACAGUAUACCAGAGGUAGUCUGGCGGGAGGCCACUCAAAAGGGUGUACGGGUUAGGGAUGGUUGGAUGUAUAUCACUCACCCGUUUGUUGACUUCACGAAGAUCUUGCACAGGCCUAAAGUCCGUUCCCCCUGGCUUUCUCACAUGUGACAAAGGAGUAUUCCAUGGAGAUCGGCACCUUUUAAGAAUUUUUGCCUCCAGAAGCCGUUGUAUAUGUGGUGCGAUUCCUUGCCGGGCUUCUAGGCUCAAAGGGUAUUGUUUUACCCAGAUAGGGGUGGCGUCCGAUUUCAGUUCGACAAUGAUGGGAGGCCUCUGCUUGGCUAGUUUUAUCCCCGCAGUUUCUGCCCAGGCUAGAGGGUAUUUUUGGACCCAAGGUUGUACGUUGGGGUCAAUGGCCGUGAGCAGCUUUGGCUGAUACAGUCUGUAUUCGUCCCUCAAUGCCAGAGACAAAACUUGUAUGGGAUGUCCAGUCCCAUCUAGAACUGAUAUCUCUCCGUGGUCAAAGUGAAUUUGGGCAUUGACUUUAAAUGGUAAGUCUCUUCCCAACAAGGGUGCUGGGCAUUCUGGUAUUAUAAGAAAAGAGUGAGUCACCUGCUGGGCCCCCAAGUUCACUUGACGUUUAGUAGUCCAUCCAUAUCGUUUAGUCCCGGUGGCCCCUUGUACCCAGCUGGUCUUUUUAGACAUCGGUCCGUCUUUCCGGUUAAGGACCAAGUAUUGAGCUCCUGUGUCCACCAUGAAGCCAACUGGUUUCCCCUCCAUAUGUAUAGUUACCCAGGACUCAGGGAGGGGUGCCGGGUCCUGACCCCCCCUAAUCGCUAUCUUCUCCUGCAUAUAGGAUGUGGGCCCCCGUGGAGGACACGGAGGACAUCUCCUGCUUGGUGGGUCUUUCCCUUAGGUGUCUCUCGGGGCACUUACUCUUCCAGUGUCCUAUCUCCUUGCAAAACGCACACUGGUCCUUUUUAAGUCCUUGCCUUGCUGGCUUCCCUUCAC
ensembl:lncRNA